CUUCGAACAGCUUCCCAGUGGAGCCCCCGGAGAUGCCCAGGGACACUUGAGUACUGUAUGCUCAGAAGGAUGUGAAGAUGUUGUGCCAACAGCCAUACAGGAAAAUGGACUACUGAACAUCCAGCCACAAGGCCAUGUGGGCUGAGUGUCCUACCACUGCUUCACGACGCAGACAGCCCGAGCGUGCAGCUAGUCCUCUGAAUGCUUACUGAACUGAAUGACCCAGGUGAUUAUUGAGGACGGUGCUGCAGGACAACUUGGGAAAACUGUCCAUCUACAAACACGGCUAAGAAAACAAU